rnacentral:tRNA from 1 species
AAAAAAAUAGUUUAUUUAAAACAUAUAGUUUGAAACUAUAAGAUUCUAAUGGAUUUUUUUG